rfam:Aspergillus flavus NRRL3357 scf_1106286419142 genomic scaffold, whole genome shotgun sequence.
AGCAUGUUAAUUCAGGGGAAGAAUGCCAGGCUCAUAACCUGGAAGUCGCUGGAUAAAACAGCACAUGCUA